rnacentral:rRNA from 1 species
GAUGAACGCUGGCGGCGUGCCUAAUACAUGCAAGUCGAGCGAACGGACGAGAAGCUUGCUUCUCUGAUGUUAGCGGCGGACGGGUGAGUAACACGUGGAUAACCUACCUAUAAGACUGGGAUAACUUCGGGAAACCGGAGCUAAUACCGGAUAAUAUUUUGAACCGCAUGGUUCAAAAGUGAAAGACGGUCUUGCUGUCACUUAUAGAUGGAUCCGCGCUGCAUUAGCUAGUUGGUAAGGUAACGGCUUACCAAGGCAACGAUGCAUAGCCGACCUGAGAGGGUGAUCGGCCACACUGAAACUGAGACACGGUCCAGACUCCUACGGGAGGCAGCAGUAGGGAAUCUUCCGCAAUGGGCGAAAGCCUGACGGAGCAACGCCGCGGGAGUGAUGAAGGUCUUCGGAUCGUAAAACUCUGUUAUUAGGGAAGAACAUAUGUGUAAGUAACUGUGCACAUCUUGACGGUACCUAAUCAGAAAGCCACGGCUAACUACGG